rnacentral:rRNA from 1 species
GGCGGACGGGUGAGUAACGCGUGGGUAACCUGCCUUAUACAGGGGGAUAACAGUUAGAAAUGACUGCUAAUACCGCAUAAGCGCACAGGAUUGCAUGAUCCGGUGUGAAAAACUCCGGUGGUAUAAGAUGGACCCGCGUCUGAUUAGCUUGUUGGUGAGGUAACGGCCCACCAAGGCGACGAUCAGUAGCCGACCUGAGAGGGUGACCGGCCACAUUGGGACUGAGACACGGCCCAAACUCCUACGGGAGGCAGCAUG